rnacentral:rRNA from 1 species
AUUGAACGCUGGCGGCAGGCUUAACACAUGCAAGUCGAGCGAGCGGCGGACGGGUGAGUAAUGUAUGGGAAACUGCAUGAUGUAGGGGGAUAACUACUGGAAACGGUAGCUAAUACCGCAUACCAUCAGCGGUGCCCAGAGGGGAUUAGCGAGUAGGUGGGGUAAUGGCUCACCUAGGCGACGAUCCCUAGCGGGUCUGAGCGGAUGACCAGCCACACUGGAAUGGAGCCACGGUCCAGACUCCUACGGGAGGCAGCAGUGGGGAAUAUUGCACAAUGGGCGAAAGCCUGAUGCAGCCAUGCCGGGUGUGUGAAGAAGGCCUUCGGGUUGUAAAGCACUUUCAGCGAGGAGGCGUUACUCGCAGAAGAAGCACCGGCUAACUCCGUGCCAGCAGCCGCGGUAAUUC